rnacentral:lncRNA from 1 species
CCUGCUCCUCUCCCUCCUGCCUUCCUUGGGAGGGAGCUGCUGGAAAGUUCCCUUGACUUUCACCAAAAGCUGUCGGUUGCCACGCCUUCCCUUUGUUCAUUGAGAAGGAGUCCUCAUCCAGUGGCUGAUGGAAGCAGAGGCAGACACCCACAGCUAUACACUGAACUGAACUCUGGAACCCAGUUGCAGAGAGGGAGAAACGAAGAUCAAGGGAGUCGGAACCAGGCUGGUAAAUCCCACAGAAACAGCUGGCCUGAACAAGGGGGAGCACAUGGACCCUAGACUGCUGUCUGGAAGACCAUCAAGGGACUGAUCCAGACCCCUGAAAGUGGAUGUCAACAAGGAGACCUCGGCAUCCUAUGAGGCCUCUGGUAGCGGAUCAGCAUUUUUCCCUGAUGUAAGAAGGGACUUUGAGAGCCCAUAUCACGUGAAGGGAUGCUCUCUCGGCCUGGACACAUGGGGGAGGGUCUAGGCUCUGCCCAGGAUGAUGUUAUGGAAUUUGGUGAGCCCCAUGGAGGGCCCUACCCACCC